rnacentral:lncRNA from 1 species
ACCUCAGAGACUUACAGAAUAUGGCAUUUAAACAUAGCUAUAUAGUUGUAUUAAUUUAAGGGUUUUCUUUUGUUUGUUUGGUUUUUGUUGUUUUGGUUUUUCGAGACAGGGUAGCCCUGUGUAGCCCUGGCUGUCCUGGAACUCACUCUGUACUCCAGGCUAGCCUUGAACUCAGAAAUCUGCCUGUCUCUGCCCCCCAAGUGCUGUGACUAAAGGUGUGUGCCACCACUGCCCUGCUUUAAGGUCUUUUUGACAUGGAGACGUGUCAACGCCUGGCAGAACCACACUGGACCUGGGAAAGGAUGCUGAGCAUCAGCAACCUCCAUGAGGAGUCGCUUCAACUGUGGAAAGCUCGCCAUAACCCUGUCCACAGACAGACAGAAUGCUGUCCGGAACGGAUGAACGGAGAGGCCUGCAGUUUUCAGGCCUUGGAGCAGGAAGUUGUACCUAUGUCAGUGGGCUGCCCAGCCCCUGCUGAAACAUCUGGAGGAAAGCUUGGCUUAGAACAGGCUGUUGCACCAAAACAUUGCACAGCCCCAAACUCCACCUCAGAUUCUUCAGGAGCACGCAUAGCCUGUCUCUGAGGGACCUGAUGAAAGCCACAGCCGUGUGACCACCCCAUACAGGACACUCCUUGAAUAUCAUCCAGGCCUGUCCUUUUCCAUCAUAAGAAACGGCAAUCUUGAAAUGUCUGUCUUCAUAGCUGUCCCUAAAAACAGGGAUCCAACACUUACUACAAGCAUAAAAUUAUUUUGUUGCUAUUUCACAACUGUAAUUUUGCUACCAUUAUGACUCAUAAUGUGAAUGUCUGCUAUGCAGGAUGGUCUUAAACCCUUGUGAAAAGAUUGGUUGGACCCCAAAAAGGGAUGUAACCCAUAGGAUGAGAACUGCUGCUAUAUGCAAAACUUGACAUUAAGAAUUGUAUGGUUGUGCUGGGCAGUGGUGGCACUCGCCUUUAAUCCUAGCACUUGGGAGGCAGAGGCAGGCGGAUUUCUAAGUUCGAGGCCAGCCUGGUCUAUAGAGUGAAUUCCAGGACAGCCAAGGCUACACAGAGAAACCCUGUCUCAAAAAAACAAAAACAAAAAACCAAACAAAGAAAAAAGAAUUGUAUGGUUCUGAGGGCUGGAGAGAUAGUUCAGCGGUUAAGAGCACUGACUGCUCUUCCAGAGGUCCUGAGUUCAAUUCCCAUCAACCACAUGGUGGCUCACAACCAUCUGUAAUGGGGGAUCUGAUGCCCUCUUCUGGUGUGUCUGAAGACAGCUACAGUGUACUCACUGUAAAAUAAAUCUUAAAAAAAAGUGUGCUUCCUUUUCCUUACUGGCCUUCUGAAGACAAGAUGGCUCACCAGCAGCUCUGGAGUGACUGGAGUCACCCUCAGAAGUUCACCCAGGGCUCCCAUCUGGUCAGUGCCAUGGUCUGACCCAAAAAUACAGGCAGUGUUUCCUUUUAUUCUUAAAAGGACAUAGGUUUUAUUGAGUUGGAUUUAAGUGACUUUCCUUGAAUGUAUUAUUCAAGACUGUCUACCCAAUGAAAGACAACACACUAGACUUUACACACACAAACACACACACACACACACACACACAUAUAUAUAUAUAUACAUAUAAGCACUGUCUUAGUAAGGGUUUCUAUUCCUGCACAAACAUCAUGACCAAGAGGCAAGUUGGGGAGGAAAGGGUUUAUUCGGCUUACACUUCCGUACUGCUGUUCAUCACCAAGGAAGUCAGGACUAGAACUCAAGCAGAUCAGGAAGCAGGAGCUGAUGCAGAGGCCAUGGAGGGAUGUUUUUUACUGGCUUGCCUCCCCUGGCUUGCUCAGCCUGCUCUCUUAUAGAACCAAGACUACCAGCCCAGAAAUGGUCCCACCCACAAGGUUUCCCCCUUGAUCACUAAUUGAGAAAAUGCCUUACAGUUGGAUCUCAUGGAGGCAUUUCCUCAACUGAAGCUCCUUUCUCUGUGAUAACUCCAGCUGUGUCAAGUUGACACAAAACUAGCCAGUACAUGCACACGCACACACACACACACACACACACACACGUAAAAUUUAAAACUUCAAGACCUUAAAAAAGGUAUGGUUGGUGGCUGGAGAGUUGACUCUUUGGUCAACAGAGCACUGGCUGCUCUUCCAGAAGACCCAGGU